GCGAUUUAUAAUUUCUAGACUGGAAUCGACAGAAAUUGAAAAAUACGAUAAAGUCGUGUCUUUCUACGUCUUCCAUUUUAUAAAUGAUCUGGAAAACUUAUUUUCUGUCGUUUCUUCGCUUCUGAAGCCCGGAGGACAUUUUUUCUUCGUUCUUAUUACCAAACAACCUUGGUAUUCCGUCAGACGAGAGCCGAGUACCGACCGAGAGUGGACCGAGUACAUAAAGACCGAAGAUAUGCUGGACACGAUUCCGCCCACCGACGAUUGGAAGGACGUCGAAUCGGAAUUUAAAAAUUACGUUUUCCGGUUUGGCUCGAGAGUGACCAAAAGUAAAUGCGAUGUUUUAGAUGUGCCGUUUUCUGAUAAAAAGCAAUUUUUGGAUUUACUACUCGCCGUAUCGCCUAAAGCCAUCUUCGAAAACAUGGAACCGGACGUAAAACAACGCCUUUGGAGACGGGCGGAACCAAUUAUUCUCAAAUACGCCACGCGGCGGGAAAACGGUGAAAUUUCGGUCCCUUGCGAAUUUUUGCAGGUUUCGGGAAUCAAGAAAACAGAAUGAAAUCAAUGUACACUCCGUAAUACCGUAUAGGCGCAGUUUAUUUUAUAUAAGGCUUUGUUUUUCGUUAGUCGAAACAGUUUGGAUUUGUCAUAAUGCAGAAAAAUAGACGAGCGGCGGUUUCGUAUUCGGUCUGUCCGGGUACGUCGACCACCAAUUCUUACAAUUCGAUCAAUACCGUAUUGUAGCCUACUAUAAUGAAUACGAUUCAAAGCCUCUCUUUGUACUGCCCAAAGAUUACAAACAUAAAAAAACUAAGAGAUACACCGAUGAAAGAUCAAACGUUUUAUUGCAUUGUUUACACUUACGCGCUUCUUAUAUUUCUCUUUUGAUGCAGCUGCUCAAAAAGUUUUUAUGACGACUCUUUCUUACUGUUAUUAACCGCGGAGUUAUAGCGGGUCGAUGCUAUAAAACCACCAUACGUUUCCUGGUCGGCAUUCGUGUUUAGUAAUAAGUUAGAUUUAAGAUAACUAACUUAAAAUUAAAUUAUAGCUAAGUUAAAUGUAAGUUAUAAGUAUAUUCACUAAUUCUCCUAGUUAAGUUAUUCCGCUUCUUAGAGGCUCGCUGGCUUCCGUAUUAUUUUAGUAUCGGUUUAAAGCCUUUACUCUAGUUUUAAGCAUUAUACUCGACUCUGUCUGGCUUUUACGUAGCGCGCUACUUAUCCACGUACUGUACGCUACAAUUCCGACUUUCUUUUAGAUCCGCGGCUUUGCGGGAUAAAAACAGCGCGCGGAGAAUUGUAACCUUAUUUACACCGCUCGGAGGGAUCCUUCCUUUCUCGUUUUUCUAUCUUCUCUUCCCCUACUUCCGCCAGCUAAACGCUUUGGGUACGGCCGUCGUUUUUCCUUAAAAUAUUAUAAAACGGCAAAAAGCUUAAUUUUGAGUGUAGAGAUACCGUACAAAACCGUAAAAAAAUACACAUUAUUAUUCUAUAAUGUAGGAAACACGUGUAAUACAUAAUACAUACUACAAAUAAUGUAAUAAAGGAACAUCGGUCAUUGUAACUGAUGUAUUAUUGAAAGUUUUAUUCGUACAGAUAAUGAAUUUUAUCAAGAAACAUUUCUCCGGAAGAAAAUUAUCGAUAUUUCGCGUAAAUAUAGGUACAUUUUUUUCGGUUUUUGCGGCAUUUUUUAUUGUCGGGGUUAAGAUUGUAAAUUUUUAAAUAUAAAUUUUGAUUUUCUUUACAAAUAAAGUGAUUUUUAUAUCUCUAUUUCACCGUUAUUAGUUAUAGUAAUGACGUCACUGUACCAUACGUAGAACACUCA
rnacentral:lncRNA from 1 species